rnacentral:rRNA from 1 species
GAUGAACGCUGGCGGCGUGCCUAAUACAUGCAAGUCGAGCGAACGGACGAGAAUCUUGCUUCUCUGAUGUUUGCGGCGCACGGGUGAGUAACACAUGGAUAACAUCCCUCUAAUACUGGGAUAACUUCGGGAAAACGGAGCUCAUACCGGAGAAAACAUUGAUCCGCAUGGUUCAAAAGUUAAAGACGGUCUUGCUGUCACUUAUAGAUGGAUCCGCGCUGCAUUAGCUAGUUGGUGAGGUAACGGCUUACCAAGGCAACGAUGCAUAGCCGACCUGAGAGGGUGAUCGGCCACACUGGAACUGAGACACGGUCCAGACUCCUACGGGAGGCAGCAGUAGGGAAUCUUCCGCAAUGGGCGAAAGCCUGACGGAGCAACGCCGCGUGAGUGAUGAAGGUCUUCGGAUCGUAAAACUCUGUUAUUAGGGAAGAACAUAUGUGUAAGUAACUGAGCACAUCUUGACGGUACCUAAUCAGAAAGCCACGGCUAACUACGUG